AUCACAUUGAAAUUGUAAGCGAAGUUGAAGCCUUGAUAACAGAGAGAGAAAAAGAAAGAAGAGAGAAAAAAAAAAAUGGGUCUUUGCUUUGGUUGCUUCGGCGCAGACAAGCGCAUGAGCAAGGAAGAAGAAAGGUUAGCCUCUGAAGAAGCGCGUGCAAAAGCUGCUGAAGCGGCACAGAAAAGACAAGAGCAAUUUGAGAAAUCUGCAGCAGGACGAGCUGCACGUGCACAGCAACAGGCAAUGGCAAAGCAAUCUGCAAACCCCAACAAAGGCGAACCCGUUCUAAAGUGGCAGAUGGGUUGAGGUUAGACACUUUGUGGAAUCAACUUUUUUUAGGUGUUGUAAGUUCACUGUCCGAAAUGUAUAUCAAGGUGAAAAAGGAUUGAGUAGGAUAUACACCUCAAUAAAAUAUUAAUGUAUUGAUGACAGAUCCAAUCAAAAUUCUACCCUCUGCAUGUUUCACUUGUACGGAAGAUGUAAAGAUGUUUACAGCAAUAAUUGUAUCUUAGGUGUAAUUUGUUGUUAUCCAGACCAAGAAAAACAGUGAGUGUAAAUUUGUAAAGAAAUCAUGGUGAUUGGAAACUGGAUAAGUUGAGAUGGCAGUUUGAUUUUCUUCCCCUCUAUUGUAUCAAAUUCAGCAACUCAAUUUGCUAUAACGGAUUAGAGAAGUGUGGCCCUUGAAAUAUUAUCUCCAACGUGUAUUUUUCGCUAA